rnacentral:lncRNA from 1 species
UAUUGAUAUGGGGUCGUUCCUGACUGGACGACUAUGAUUGUUUUCAGAUACACAUGGCACAUCAUUGAUCCCUCCAGAAUGGUAAUUGUGAUGUACAUAAUGAGGGUUGGGAACCAACGAGUGGACUCUUUGUUUAGUGUUGCCAAGGGAAAGGCACUUUUCGGGUGCUUACCUCGGGUAUGUAAUAUACCACGAGUUGUGGCUCGACACGAAAGUUCCCCGAGUCUUGUGGGUAAAGUGUGCAACCUGUGUAGAGUGUAUAACUAUUCGAAUAGCCGUCUCCAUAGU